rnacentral:rRNA from 1 species
GAUGCCCAGCUUGCUGGGUGGAUUAGUGGCGAACGGGUGAGUAACACGUGAGUAACCUGCCCCUGACUCUGGGAUAAGCGUUGGAAACGACGUCUAAUACUGGAUACGACUGCCGGCCGCAUGGUCUGGUGGUGGAAAGAUUUUUUGGUUGGGGAUGGACUCGCGGCCUAUCAGCUUGUUGGUGAGGUAAUGGCUCACCAAGGCGACGACGGGUAGCCGGCCUGAGAGGGUGACCGGCCACACUGGGACUGAGACACGGCCCAGACUCCUACGGGAGGCAGCAGUGGGGAAUAUUGCACAAUGGGCGAAAGCCUGAUGCAGCAACGCCGCGUGAGGGAUGACGGCCUUCGGGUUGUAAACCUCUUUUAGUAGGGAAGAAGCGAAAGUGACGGUACCUGCAGAAAAAGCACCGGCUAACUACGUGCCAGCAGCCGCGGUAAUACGUAGGGUGCAAGCGUUGUCCGGAAUUAUUGGGCGUAAAGAGCUCGUAGGCGGUUUGUCGCGUCUGCUGUGAAAUCCCGAGGCUCAACCUCGGGCUUGCAGUGGGUACGGGCAGACUAGAGUGCGGUAGGGGAGAUUGGAAUUCCUGGUGUAGCGGUGGAAUGCGCAGAUAUCAGGAGGAACACCGAUGGCGAAGGCAGAUCUCUGGGCCGUAACUGACGCUGAGGAGCGAAAGCGUGGGGAGCGAACAGGAUUAGAUACCCUGGUAGUCCACGCCGUAAACGUUGGGCGCUAGAUGUAGGGACCUUUCCACGGUUUCUGUGUCGUAG